rnacentral:lncRNA from 1 species
UUUUUUGUUUUUUUUUUUUUCCUUCCUGACUCUCAUUCAACCAUAGUAAAUUUUAAUAUGUGUGUCAGGUUUCCCGCAAUUUAUAUAAAAUGAAACUCUUUGGAAAAGAUAACACCUGAGUGUCCAUAUGAUUUCAUGCUGCAGUCUCAGCUUAGAUCUAAAGCUAAUGUCAGAUUCUCGUUCCUUCUCCUAGGGAGAUGUCAACAGAAUAUGCUGGUUCAGAAUGAAUGUGUCCCUGUGACUGGUAUUUCUGAUGGACCUGGCUGUGCUUCUGCUCUCAGAAAUCACCCCCUUCUGGGAUCACAAGAAAAAUAGGCCCAUCUUUUAAGACAGAAAUAAUUUUUGCUUCCCUAAGCACUGUUUCUCAAAUUUGUUUUUAGGUUUAAAAUCUAUUGGUGAAUCUUCGUGCCAUAUCUUAUUAUGCAGAAAAAUCUAAUGUGUGCUGGUUAGGAAAACAGGCCCUGAGGUCUAAUGAAAUACGACUGGUUCUUGAAGCUUUCAGAACCAGAUGAUUAUUUCUUCUAUUUUUUUAGCCUGGAUUCACCUCUCCCAGCAAUUCCUGUUUUGGCUCUUGAAGGUACCGUGAGAUACACCAUCCUAGACUUAGACUACAGUACCUGGGUGAUGGAGGAUGUCUGGCCACGGUGCAUGAAUGACAGGUGGGAGAGACACAGCUGUGCUGCUUGGAUGAGGGCAACAUGGAAUAAAGGAUAGAAGGGUGAUGCUUGUCUUCAAAGAGCUGAAGUGUGGUUACGUGAAGGGGUGAAGCUACUUGCGUUGUGCAACUGAACAAAGGAAACUAGCAUCAAAGAGUGGGUUCAGUCUCCCGAACAUACCUCUCAUCAUUCAGUUUCUCCCCAUCUCAACUCUUCCCCACUCCACUCUAAGCCAUCUUCACCUAUUGCCUGGGACCCCACCAGGGCCUCACAACCUGUCUCCCUAUUCCACUUUUGCAUCUAGUAAGUCAUGUCUUUCCCCUGCGUGGACCCUUUUGAUAGUUUUACAUCACUUUAGAUAAAGUGUGGAUCUUAAGCAGCCUACAUACCCGAAUGACUUGUUAUUCCUCUCCAUCCAGCCACAUCUCCUUGCCCAUGGUCUUUGCUUCAGCCACAGAGAAAUUCUUUGGUGAAGAUAACAUUCAAGUGUCCAUGGGAUUGCGUGCUGAAGUCUCAGUGGCAUAUUCAGUUUUAGACUCUUUUUAUUUUUUUAUUUUUGUCUUUUAUGUUUUUAGGGCUGCACCCAUGGCAUAUGGAAAUUCCCAGGCUAGGGGUCUAAUUGGAGCUGCUGCUGCUGGCCUAUACCAGAGCCACAGCAACACCAGAUCUGAGCUGCGUCUGUGACCUACAGCACAGCUCACGGCAAUGCUGGAUCCUUAACCCACUGAGCAAGGCCAGGGAUUGAACCCACAACCUCAUGGUUCCUCAUUGGAUUUGUUUCCUCUGUGCCAGAACGGGAACUCCUCAGACACAUUUUCCUUUUGCUCAGAACCACCCUUCCUCCUUCAGAAACUCAACUGACUCUUCUCUCUGUGGCAUCUAACACCUAUUCAUUCUUUACACUUCAAACGCACGCUCCUCUCCAACUACAUCCCUCAGUCAUGGGUUCUCACAGCACCAUCAACCUCUUUUCUAGUGCUUUUCUUGUAGGUAUGUACACAAAGUCUGUUUCCCAGCUCCCCUCAACACUCUAUGGAGGAAGAGACUGCUUCUAUUCCCCAAUACUGGACCGUGGCCCUUCAUAUUCAUCCACGGAGCUGGCACAGUGGUUAACCCUUGGUAAGAUGCCUACUUCAUAAAUAUAUGUGAAUGACGGAAUAAAUGAAAGAAUAAAAGGAUGUUAAUUUUUCCCCAUGUGAAACUACUCUAACAUUGGAAGUCAUCAGAAGAUAAAUUUAACUAUUUUGCGGGGCCCCUUACCAGAAGUAUUUGUGUAGACAAGAGAAGUCCUCUUAGCAGGAGUCUUGGAGAAAUGCGGUGGCAUAUGAAGCACUAAGUGGGAUAACUGGACAAUACUCUUUAGUUGCCCUUCCAAGGCAAGUAAUUCCAUGGUUUGUAAGUUAUUUUAAAGCUUGUUUGUUUUUUUUAGGCAGACGGAGAGAAAAAGUAAUUCCAGUUAAAAAGUUUAUAAGGAAAAAACUAAAUAUUUGGCCCAAGGUGAAUGUUUGAUAUGCCAGAAUGGUUUGAACACAUGUGGAUUCUAAGUCUCUAAACAUGGAUGAGGAAAUUCGUUCACUCAUCAUUUAUUCAACAAAUAUUUCCAGAGCUCC